GACGUAGGGCGCGAGCGUUGUCCGGAUUUAUUGGGCGUAAAGAGCUCGUAGGCGGCUUGUCGCGUCGACUGUGAAAUCCCGAGGCUCAACUUCGGGCUUGCAGUCGAUACGGGCAGGCUAGAGUUCGGUAGGGGAGACUGGAAUUCCUGGUGUGCGGUGAAAUGCGCAGAUAUCAGGAGGAACACCGAUGGCGAAGGCAGGUCUCUGGGCCGAUACUGACGCUGAGGAGCGAAAGCGUGGGGAGCGAACAGG
rnacentral:rRNA from 1 species